CACCAGCGCGAGUACCGCGUCCUCCCCUAGUUCCCUCCGCCGGAGCCAGGAGCCCAGGACAGGGCCUCCCCUGGUACCCCUCCGCCGGCGACAUGAAGGGCCCCUCCCCUGGUUCCCCUCGGCCGGCGACAGGACUUGCCCCUCCCCUGGUUCCCCUCUGCGGGCGCCAAGAUCGCGCCUAUCCCUCCCUCCGCGCGGCUGCCGCGAGUUCUACCCCCUACUCUGCCUCUCGCCACUGCCGCAACGGCCGGCCCCUCCCCUGCCUCGCCGCUGCUCACCGGAAGCCAAGCGAGCAUGUUGGCAUGUGCUUUUCAUCAUUCUGCCGACAUGUAGAAGCUCAUCAUUUAUACUUGCUGGACUACUUGCAUUGGGGUGCACCAAAGAUGUGGUAUGGAGUUCCAGGAUAGGAUGCUGUGAAUCUGAAGUCUGCAUUGAGGAGACAUCUACUUGACUUGUCUGAGAUCAACCUGAUUUGCUUCACAACCUGGAUCACUUAUGACGAUGAACUAAAGAAGCAACACCUAAUGCUUCUCCACAAUGGAUUGUACCGUUUAUCACGGGUGAGGCUUGAAAUGUUCGGUUUAUGCGUGAGUGCUUAUGCUACAUAUUCCACUAUGUAAGGUUUGGAACAUUUCAUCUUUAAUGCUAUUGAGUUAUGUGCUGCAAAAUUUGCUUUUGAUGUUUAGAUGCUUUGUUAUGUUUGGUUACAAGUGUUUGUUUUGGUAGAUAGUUCAGCAAUUGUUAAACUAUUUCUCUUAUCUCAGACAGUUUGAGAAUGAUGCAGUCAUCGAAAAAAUAUGAAAUUAUAGCAUCAGGUUAGCUGAAUCGAGUUACACCAAAGAUCAGAAAAUACAGUUCAUAAUCCUCCAGCUCACAUUGCUACAUCAGACAUUUUCAUACAUAGGCAUAAACACAUCCUGUCAGCUGAUAUCUGCAACCUGCGAUACUGCUAUGCUAUUUAUGCUUUAGGCUUAGGCCUCGCUUGUUGACUAGCUCCUGGACCAUGUACAUGCCUAACUGGAAUUCAGUAUAGAGUGCUCGGUAGUAGCAUCCAUGAGCUAUUUGUUGGGCUGGGGCAAAGAUAUGAUUCGUUCGUUCCCAGCAAGAGUAUACUUUUACAAAGUAAAUUAAGAUUUCUUUAAAACAACAUAGAGGUGUAACAGCAAAGUAGCCCGGUUGGCUCUUUCCCUAGACGAUUGAACCAUACAUACCUUAACUGAGCGUUGAUGAUGUCCAGCUGCAACAUACGUUGCAUAAAUGAAGUCCUCUGAGCAAAAUGGAAAUGAGAAAUAAAGCUCGGGAUAUCUAUGUAUGUUAAGAAACUAAAAGAAGAUAAUGUUGCAAAGAUAAUUUAAGGAAUACAAUUAUAUGUAUAUUGCUAGUUAGUUCCAGGUGAAAGGUAAUAAUAUGUAUCUUGAGCAUUACUGGGUGCUGCAGAAUUUCGUAGUCUGUGUUGCAAACCUUUGAUAUAAUCUAUAUUAAAUUAAAUAUGCCUAUUCAAUGUCCAUAGAUUAUCAUGAUUAAGUCGUGCAAUCAAAUUUUUUUGUUAGCAUAAAAAGUAGUUUUUAUCUAGGUACAAAAACAUGAUGCAAAUAAACCUUAGAACAACGCACCUGCCUCUCACCCCUCUAAAACAUCUCUAUAGACAAUGUUUUUGGUGCAUUUCCCGGUUUUAUUGACCUCUUUGUUUGGCUUGGCCAAAAUCCAUGUCGUAUUUCUUGACACACCCCUUGACAAUGCAACGUAUAGCUGUCCAUGUGAGAAUAUAGGCUCGGGAAGGUAAAUACCGACGUUUGGUAUGGUGCCUUGUUAAUGGUCAUCACAAAACUUAGGCCAAUGGGGAACUGUUUUCUCUUGAGUUUGAAGGGAAGUGAGAUGUCCUCUGAUGGCGACAUAGGGAUCCUAGGCCAUUAUGAGGGUCGAGGUUUCGGAGCAGAAUGACCGGGCAAUUGACCUUCAAUCUCAAGACAUGCGGGAGCAAUGCCAUGAUUUGGUGUGAUCGAGUUCAUAGUGUAAUUGUUCUGCAAAUCAUGCUCGGUUGAGUCGAAGCUAUGGUAUAACCUUUCAUCGCCUGGAAACCUGGAGAUCAUCUUGUCAUUCAGGUCAUCAACAUGCUCAUUCUUGGUCGAAAGGAUUGCAUGUGUGCUCAUGUACUCUCUCGACCUAGCGUUGGCAUGUAGCGAUGGGGAGACAUUUUCAAUGAGCGUGUUAAUAGUUUUUUCAUCCUUGGUAUAACCGAUCACGAUGUCAUCAGUGAGACGCACAUAGUCGUCCACAAUUGUCUCUUCUGUUCCAUUGCCGACUCAGAAUGCCAAGGAUCAGCUUGUGCCCGCAUGUUCCGUGUGAGGCAUAUCUUGUGUCUUAUCCCACAGAUAGGUCUCAGAAGUGUAGCAUCUGUGAUAUGUGCUCUUUUCCCACAUGUCACAAAAGGAAGGACCCGCCUGAAAUCCCCACCAAAGACGACAACCUUUCCUCCAAACGGCAAAGGACCUUCCAUUAUAUCUUGGAGCGAUCUAUCAAGCAUCUCAACUGCUUGCCAUUUGGUCAUAGCGACUUCGUCCCGAAUUAUCAAGGACUGCUGCUUUAGCAACUCCGCUGUAGCACUCUGCGUUGUGAAACUACGCGUGCUAUUAUCUUUGCAUUAUCAAUGCUGCUAUACCUAAUGUAGCAGUUGCGAUCGCUAUUAGGCCCAUGGAACGCACCUUCGCAAGCAUUGCUUUGUGUAAGUAUGUCUUGCCAGUGCCUUCUGGACCAUCAACGAAGAAUAUCUGGCCUUUUUUGUUCAUCACAUGAUCCAUUAUAUCAUUGAAACUAGCCAACUACUCACUGUUCAAACUGCCAAAUAGAUCUAGAUGUUCUUUGUCUGCGGCAACUUGCCUCUUUGCUACCUCUUCAAGAUGAGAAUGGGCCGGGUCGACCCACCGGUUCACUGACCCUGCCCAAAAUUUUGAGGCCAUUGGGGCGCUUGGGUUGGCCUCGAAUGUGUGGAAGUGGCUGCAGUUGCCGUCAACAGAUAGGAGCUGGAUGGUGGUCGCAUUUGAGCUUGGGGGUCGUCGCGACGCUAGGGCGGUGGUGCCAGAUCGGAGCAAUGGCGCCAGGUGACGGUGGGCUUGAAUGCGAACGACUUUGAUGGGUGGAAGAGCAGUAAUUUACUAGCCAGAGGGGAGCUCCGACGGAAGAGCACAACAUGUUGAGGUGGGGUCGUCGAUGGUGUACUGAGGAGGGAGCCAGAUGUGGCAGCGCUAGCUGGAGAGAGGUCUCGUGCCAUGCGUAACUAGCUAUCUGGCUUAUUUGUAGUUGGCUUGUUGGGCUGCGGGAAUAAAUGGGCUGAUUUCCUCUUUAGAACUCACGGACCGCACUGAGUGUCAACAAAAUUUCGGGCUUUCGGGCUAUUCGGGCACUCAGACGUUGCAACCUGAAUUUCCUGAACUAAUAUUUGGCUUGCAGAUCUGACACCCGAAAUUAGGCCCGAAUUUUUGGGUUUCGGGUAAUUCAGGUUCAGGCUCGGUUAAUUCGGGUUCGGGGUUGGGGCCUCGGGUUUUAUGCCCACCGUGAUCUGCAGGAGAUACAAAGCGUGCAUCCCUAUAUUGUCGAAUCUCAUUGAUGAUUCCACCAUGAUAUCCUGCUCGCAUGCAAAGGAUGCUUUGUCAUGCCCUUUAUAGAUGUACUUGACUGCCUUGACUUGACAUUAAUGUGGCAGUUGUAUCGCAUAAGCACAAAGGGGUUGUAAGGGAUGACCCACCUGUUAUCCAAAUCUGCUCCUCUGAUCCUAACUCCACACUCAUUGUCCUUCUAUUGAUGGGAUAUCAGUCUUUCCCUUGCUGUGUGGUGUCGCAAAAUUCUCGUGGGUAAUGAAACCGGCAUUGUCCAUCAAUCAUGCAAGGACAACUUUUCUUCAAAAAGGACAACUUUUCUUCAACUCACCACAGAGCCGUGCAGCAUGUGUUUGACGACCAGAUCAUGUAGAACAGGGUAUUUCUCUUUUUAAGGUAUCUCUGGAGAUAUCACACGAUCAUAGUUCCAGGAUCAUCACAAAUAACUUAGCGUUUCCUAUUAUUACAAAUAAGGCUUCGUGAAUCACCUGAUGGUUCUCUUAACUUUCAGAUGUUGCUAGCUGUUCUCUGGCCUUGAGAAGAUGCUUACUUUUAUGGUUUCUUUCAGGAACAUUUCCAGAAGCAGAGGAUAGAGAAUUGAAUGGGUUCCUCAGAGCCUACACCUUAGUAGGUCAAUCCAGUAUGCGUUUGACUACUUGUUCAUGAGAGAAUGGCAUUGACAUGCAUUGUGGUCACUCGUCAGUAUCCUGUUGCUUUCAAUCAUAUCAAUCUGAAUGUUGGGUGAUAUCCUUUUUGCAGACAGCCUACCUCAGGAAUUUGGGGUGGACCAUAACAUCCAAGUUUCGCCGCGACAGGAUUCUUUGUUCCCCAUGCAUCAUACACAUUACAGUUACAUAUAUACUUGUAUCUAAAUGGCUGGAAGUCGCAUGAUGUAUAUCUUUUUUUAGAAAAAGUAGCAUAGUGCUGUUUUCAUUGGUAAAGAAGGAGAAAGUCAAAUAUUACCUACAUCCAAGUCAAAUACUGAAAGUAUUAGCGUUUGGGGGCUGUGCAUGUAUUUAUGUUGUUUGGCUCUAGACGUGAGACUGAGCAUGCUUUUCGUGUACUUGCAUGUCUAUGAGAAGGUAGUUCGUGCUUUCACAGUUUA